AUUGAACGCUGGCGGCAUGCCUUACACAUGCAAGUCGAACGGUAACAGGGAGCUUGCUCCGCUGACGAGUGGCGAACGGGUGAGUAAUAUAUCGGAACGUGCCCUAGAGUGGGGGAUAACUAGUCGAAAGAUUAGCUAAUACCGCAUACGAUCUAAGGAUGAAAGUGGGGAUCGCAAGACCUCAUGCUCGUGGAGCGGCCGAUAUCUGAUUAGCUAGUUGGUAGGGUAAAAGCCUACCAAGGCAUCGAUCAGUAGCUGGUCUGAGAGGACGACCAGCCACACUGGGACUGAGACACGGCCCAGACUCCUACGGGAGGCAGCAGUGGGGAAUUUUGGACAAUGGGCGCAAGCCUGAUCCAGCAAUGCCGCGUGAGUGAAGAAGGCCUCGGUUGUAAGCUCUUUGUUCUAGGGAAGAAACGGGUUAGAGCGUAAUAUACUUGGCCGUAAUGACGGUACCUGAAGAAUAAG
rnacentral:rRNA from 1 species